AGUCCGUGUUGCGGGCACUUUCUCAGGUGCUCCUUGAACCUUUCUCACAUCUUAAAUUGAGACACCAAUUCCAACUGUACAAAGGACGAGAUCUUAUUCCUAAGCUU